rnacentral:rRNA from 1 species
UACGUAGGGUGCGAGCGUUGUCCGGCAUUAUUGGGCGUAAAGGGCUCGUAGGCGGCCUUAUAAGUCAGUGCUUAAAUAUCCCGGCUUAACCGGGAGGGUGGCAUUGAUACUGAAGGACUUGAGUUCAGUCGAGGUAGGCGGAAUUGACGGUGUAGCGGUGAAAUGCUUAGAUAUCGUCAAGAACACCGAUAGUGUAGACAGCUUACUAGGCUGAAACUGACGCUGAGGCACGAAAGUGUGGGGAUCAAACAGG